rnacentral:rRNA from 1 species
UACGGAGGGUGCGAGCGUUGUCCGGAAUCACUGGGCGUAAAGGGCGCGUAGGCGGCCAGACAAGUCGAUGGUGAAAGCUCAGGGCUCAACUCUGAGUCGGCCACCGAUACUGUUUGGCUCGAGUCGACUAGAGGCAGAUGGAAUUCCGGGUGUAGCGGUGGAAUGCGUAGAGAUCCGGAAGAACACCGGUGGCGAAGGCGGUCUGCUGGGGUCGAACUGACGCUGAGGCGCGACAGCGUGGGGAGCAAACAGG